GGCGAAUGAACUCUGUACAAAUGGUACCGGUGAGACAUUGUACGGAGC
ncrna:unclassified sequences uup RNA